AGACGUUGAAGUGGAGUUUCUCUGCCCAGAAGGAGUGCUUCACGGAGUCCCCUGACGGUUCUGUAUUCACCAAGAGUUGGGCUUAGGUCAUUCGCGAGUGGCUGAAAGAAAAAUACCGUAA
rnacentral:sRNA from 22 species